rnacentral:rRNA from 1 species
UGCAGUCGACGAUGACGGAGGAGCUUGCUCCUCCUAGAUUAGUGGCGAACGGGUGAGUAAUACGUGAGCAAUGUGCCCUUGACUCUGGGAUAAGCGCUGGAAACGGCGUCUAAUACCGGAUACGACGAUCGGAGGCAUCUCCUGGUCGUGGAAAGAACUUCGGUCAAGGAUCAGCUCACGGCCUAUCAGUUAGUUGGUGAGGUAAUGGCUCACCAAGACGAACACGGGUAGCCGGAAUGAGAGGGUGACCGGCCACACUGGGACUGAGACACGGCCCAGACUCCUACGGGAGGCAGCAGUGGGGAAUAUUGCACAAUGGGCGCAAGCCUGAUGCAGCAACGCCGCGUGAGGGACGAAGGCCUUCGGGUUGUAAACCUCUUUUAGCAGGGAAGAAGCGAAAGUGACGGUACCUGCAGAAAAAGCACCGGCUAACUACGUGCCAGCAGCCGCGGUAAUACGUAGGGUGCAAGCGUUGUCCGGAAUUAUUGGGCGUAAAGAGCUCGUAGGCGGUUUGUCACGUCUGCUGUGAAAACCCGAGGCUCAACCUCGGGCUUGCAGUGGGUACGGGCAGACUAGAGUGCGGUAGGGGAGAUUGGAAUUCCUGGUGUAGCGGUGGAAUGCGCAGAUAUCAGGAGGAACACCGAUGGCGAAGGCAGAUCUCUGGGCCGUAACUGACGCUGAGGAGCGAAAGCAUGGGGAGCAAACAGGCUUAGAUACCCUGGUAGUCCAUGCCGUAAACGUUGGGAACUAGAUGUGGGGACCAUUCCACGGUCUCCGUGUCGUAGCUAACGCAUUAAGUUCCCCGCCUGGGGAGUACGGCCGCAAGGCUAAAACUCAAAGGAAUUGACGGGGGCCCGCACAAGCGGCGGAGCAUGCGGAUUAAUUCGAUGCAACGCGAAGAACCUUACCAAGGCUUGACAUAUACGAGAACGCGCUGGAGACAGCGAACUCUUUGGACACUCGUAUACAGGUGGUGCAUGGUUGUCGUCAGCUCGUGUCGUGAGAUGUUGGGUUAAGUCCCGCAACAAGCGCAACCCUCGUCCUAUGUUGCCAGCACGUAAUGGUGGGGAACUCAUGGGGAUACUGCCCGGGGUCAACUCCGGAGGAAGGUGGGGGAUGAAGGUCAAAUCCAUCAUGGCCCCUUU